rnacentral:rRNA from 1 species
ACACGGCGAGUGGGACACGGUCCCGAGUCCUACGGGAGGCAGCAGUGGGGAAUAUUGCACAAUGGGCGCAAGCCUGAUGCAGCACAUGCCGCGUGUAUGAAGAAGGCCUUAGGGUUGUAAAGUACUUUCAGCGGGGAGGAAGGUGAUAAGGUUAAUACCCUUGUCAAUUGACGUUACCCGCAGAAGAAGCACCGGCUAAC